AAAUUCAAAUUUAAAUUUUUAAUUUAAAUUCAAUUUUAAAUUUUUAAUUUUAGUGCAAAUUUUAAAUUAUUUUAAAAUAAAAUUUUGUAAAAAUAUUAAUGUAUGCAAUAUCAACAACAUUUUGCCAAACAGUUUUAGAAAAUCACUUUAGGAAAAUCGUUUUUACCUAAACUCGGCCAAACGCUCUACAGCUUUUCACCAAAAUCCAUUCUCCAAACCAAAAUCACUUUUACAGAAAUCAUUUUUUCAGAAGUUAGGCCAAACAUGCCCGAUAUUUCUGUGUGGAAAAUAG
rnacentral:lncRNA from 1 species